rnacentral:lncRNA from 1 species
AGUAUUCCUCUCAUUAUACAGGUGGGCGUCUAUUUAAACUAAGACUGAAAAGUAUUCCUCUCGUUAUACAGGUGGGCGCCUAUUUAAACAAAGACUGAAAAGUAUUCCUCUCGUUAUACAGGUGGGCGCCUAUUUAAACUAAAACUGAAAAGUAUUCCUCUCGUUAUACAGGUGGGCGACUAUUUAAACUAAGACAUGAAAAGUAUUCCUCUCGUUAUACAAGUGGGCGCCUAUUUAAACUAAGACUGAAAAUAUUUCUCUCGUUAUACAGGUGGGCGCCUAUUUAAACUAAGAUUGAAAAUAUUCCUCUCAUUAUACAGGUGGGCGCCUAUUUGAACUAUGACAUGAAAAGUAUUCCUCUCGUUAUACAGGUGAGCGUCUAUUUAAACUAAGACUGAAAAUAUUCCUCUCGUUAUACAGGUGGGAGCCUAUUUAAACUAAGACAUGAAAAGUAUUCCUCUCGUUAUACAGGUGGGCGCCUAUUUAAACUAAGACAUAAAAAGUAUUCCUCUCGUUAUACAGGUGGGCGCCUAUUUAAACUAAGACUGAAAAUAUUUCUCUCGUUAUACAGGUGGGCGCCUAUUUAAACUAAGA